GACGAACGCUGGCGGCGUGCUUAACACAUGCAAGUCGAACGAAAAGAGGGAAAGAGCUUGCUCUUUCCGGAAUUGAGUGGCAAACGGGCGAGUAACACGUAAACAACCUGCCUUCAGGAUGGGGACAACAGACGGAAACGACUGCUAAUACCGAAUAAGUUCCAAGAGCCGCAUGGCCCAUGGAAGAAAAGGUGGCCUCUACCUGUAAGCUAUCGCCUGAAGAGGGGUUUGCGUCUGAUUAGCUGGUUGGAGGGGUAACGGCCCACCAAGGCGACGAUCAGGAGCCGGUCUGAGAGGAUGAACGGCCACACUGGAACUGGGACACGGUCCAGACUCCUACGGGAGGCAGCAGUGGGGAAUCUUCCGCAAUGGGCGAAAGCCUGACGGAGCAACGCCGCGUGAGUGAUGACGGCCUUCGGGUUGUAAAACUCUGUGAUCCGGGACGAAAAGGCAGAGUGCGAAGAACAAACUGCAUUGACGGUACCGGAAAAGCAAGCCACGGCUAACUACGUG
rnacentral:rRNA from 1 species